AUUUAAUUCAUUUAUCAUUCAAUUCAUUUACCAUUCAUUUCUUCUCCUUCUUCCUUACUGAAUCUUCACAUCUCUUCCCCAGUUCAACGUUUUCUCUAUCUCAUUUUCCAAUUUCUCAAGAUUUCGCCUCAGUUUCUCCAGUUCUUCAUUCCUUCUCGUUUCUUCCCCAAUUCCUCAUUUUACAUUUUUUGUUUUUUAACUUCUCAUUUAGGGUUUUUUGAUCUGUCAAUCUCAAAGCUCGAAUCUAAGAUGGAUGGUCGUGAUGUUGAUGGACAUGAAAAUCGGUGCUGAAACGGGACUCGUUGUUUGUAGAACUCGGGCUUUCAAUGAUGGUCACUCUGAUGAACAAGUUUUUCAACAUUGUUAUUUGACGGAACUACCACGUCGGACCGCCACUUCCUGCAUCAGUAUUUUUUUCCAAGGUUUGUCUUAGGUUUUCUUACAAUCUCGUUGUGUAUGUGUUAGUUGGAUCAUACUGUUCACAUUUGGGAUAUCGGUCGCUUAAGAGGAAGAAUGUGUCUCCGGCUGAUGAUAUACUUAGGUUGAGUCAGAUGAACACUGAUCUUUUUGGUGGGGUUGAUGAUGUUGUUAGGUAUGUGUUGGAAGAGCAUGACUUGGGGGUUAACUGGGCUUCUUUACAUCUGACACUGCCUCUUAUCUUUUCUGCUGAUGAUAGACAGUGAAUAACGGUAUCGGUAUCGCCACCUUCGGAUACUGUUUUGCCAUGGUCGUUUUCGCGGUAACAGUACAUUUUUUUAAAACUUUGUCUAAUUCAAGUGGUCGUUGUGCAUUGUUGUAAAAUUGAGGGUAUCGAUUUUAAUUCAUGCUCAUAAUAAAAGAACUGAAGUGUAAGUUGUUUUGUUUAGCAUUAUUUUUGAAGAAUGGAAAUCAUGCUAAUUGAGGAUUGGUAUGGCGACAGGCUUUGGAAUAUGUCAUAGAAGAAGCAAGGCAAAAUGGAGUCAGGCUGCUUCUUAGCUUAGUAAAUAAUCUGCAACCAUAUGGUGGGAAGAGUUUGUAUGUCAAAUGGGUGUGGCAAGAAGGAGUAAGAUUAAGCGCAUCCAAUGCAGUUUAGUAAAAAAACUAUUCUGAAGUUUUUGCCUAACAGUGGAGUCAAUAAUCCUCUUUAUCGUAAGUAGAAGGGUUUUCGAAUGUACCUCAUUGCCACUGUGAUAAAAGGUGUCUUCUAUGUCGAACCAACACCCAGUUGAAUCCAAGAAGACAUUCUGUAUUCAUUGAUUCAGUAAGCAUGAUGACCAUGGAAAUUGCAAGUACUUUAUUUGGAAAGAUGUUUGGGAUGAAAUUGUUGCAGCUCAAACAGAGACAUCGAAAGGAUAAUUUAAUUGAAAUGGAGGUUGGAAGAUAUAAUGCAAUGGAUGAUAUAUGGAAAGCAAAUCUGAAUUAUAAGUUUAACAGUUUGAUGUUGAAAUGAAGUUCAUGAAACGUUUUUAUCUACAUCAUUUAUGAUGCAAAUGUUGCUUAUGGCAGUGUGUCGGUACUUUAUGCAAUGUAUAUUAUAAUAUUUGAAGUUAAUGAGCA